rnacentral:rRNA from 1 species
GUGCACGCUGGCGGUAGGCCUAACCCAUGCCAGUCGAACGGCAGCACAGUAAGAGCUUGCUCUUACGGGUGGCGAGUGGCGGACGGGUGAGGAAUACAUCGGAAUCUACUUUUUCGUGGGGGAUAACGUAGGGAAACUUACGCUAAUACCGCAUACGACCUACGGGUGAAAGCAGGGGAUCUUCGGACCUUGCGCGAUUGAAUGAGCCGAUGUCGGAUUAGCCAGUUGGCGGGGUAAAGGCCCACCAAGGUGACGAUCCGUAGCUGGUCUGAGAGGAUGAUCAGCCACACUGGAACUGAGACACGGUCCAGACUCCUACGGGAGGCAGCAGUGGGGAAUAUUGGACAAUGGGCGCAAGCCUGAUCCAGCCAUACCGCGUGGGUGAAGAAGGCCUUCGGGUUGUAAAGCUCUUUUGUUGGGAAAGAAAAGCAGCAGGUUAAUACCCCGCUGUUCUGACGGUACCCAAAGAAUAAGCACCGGCUAACUUCGUG